rnacentral:rRNA from 1 species
UACGUAGGGUGCAAGCGUUAAUCGGAAUUACUGGGCGUAAAGCGUGCGCAGGCGGUUUUGUAAGUCUGUCGUGAAAUCCCCGGGCUCAACCUGGGAAUUGCGAUGGAGACUGCAAGGCUAGAAUCUGGCAGAGGGGGGUAGAAUUCCACGUGUAGCAGUGAAAUGCGUAGAGAUGUGGAGGAACACCGAUGGCGAAGGCAGCCCACUGGGUCAAGAUUGACGCUCAUGCACGAAAGCGUGGGGAGCAAACAGG